AAAACAAUAUAUAAUUUGUAUCGGAACAGUAAAUGAGAGAGCGGAAAAUUACAGCUAAACACAAACACCACAAAAGUGUUAAAAUAGCUCUGGUCCUUAACGUACAAACAUCGCAAAAACAGUCCAGUCCUGAAGGGGUUAAAAACCUUUGGCAGUACUGGUCCAGUCAAUCUAAAUGGUGACUAUGGCACUAUAGCGUUAGCAAUACAUAUUUGUAUUCCUAAUGCUAUAGGGUUCAUUUAAAUUAUUGUUAUGGCAUUUAUGUUUACAUAUUUUAAUCCCGGUUUCACUCUUAUUCAUGCUAGUUACGUCCAGGGAUCUACAACAGCAAUUAAAUCCUCUGAGUUUAUCACUGAAAUGUUCCACCUAUGCAAUGAGGGAUUCAAUAACAAACAGUCAUAUUAAAUGUUUCCUAAUUGAUAAAUAUAUCAGAACACAAGACGGCUACUUACACAGUACCAAUAACACAAUGUUCUUACUGAAUUAAUUUGGCUUGUUUGUAAACCCAGUGUACAGUGCCGUUUAAAUAAUCCUGAUACUGCCUCCCCCCUACCCCUCCCCUGGUUUAAUGUCAAAAUGUUUAGAAAAAAUUUGACAUUAGCAGCAGUCUUCCUAAUCCCAGAACUCUCAAUUAACACCAUAAAGAAAAACAAAUCAGUUACUGAUAAUAUGGAAAUGUUAAGGUGCCAUAGAGAUCUCUAAUUUAUG